UUUGUUAUUCAUAUCUACUCGAUCAUAUCCAAAACCACAAAAUUUAUCUCUGUAAAACCAUCUUGCAAUAAUUGAGGAGAUGAUGGAGGACCAGUCAGCGACAUGAGCGACGAGUGUCGUUGGUGGAGGCGCAACGAACAGCAGGUGAUAGGACCACCAAUGUGAGUGAGAGCAGCAACGUGAGCGGAGGGUACAACUAGCGAUAGGUUACGGGAACAACGAGCGACUGGCGAUAGCAAGCAACGAGCAACAAUGAGCAAUGGGCAACGACAAGCAACAAGUGACGGUGAGCAGCAGGUGAUGACGAGCAGUAACCUUUUGGUGAUUUUUUAUUUUUUUAAUUUUUUAUAAUUGGAUUUUAUUUAUUUUGACUUUUGUUAGAUUUGUUAAUUUUUGUUAGAUUUAUUGAAUUUGAAUCUUAAAUCUCUUGAAAUUUUUAUUUGUUUAUGUAGAUUGAGUUUGUGAUUUUAAUUAUUUUUUUGAUUUGUGGAUAAGUUUUUGUUGCUUCAUUUCUUUAAGAGAGAGACCUCUAAUUUUGAUAAAAUUAAACUUUUGGGACUAAAGUGUUAGAUUUUAAAGAGGAUAGUUAGGUCAUGUCUCCUUUCAUUAAUGGUAUUUUUUUAUAUGGAUGACCUCUAAUUUUUACGGAAUUAAAGUUGAGGGAUUGAAAUGUUAGGUUCAAAAUAGAGAGGGCCAAAUUCAUUAAUUAUACUACAUCUCAAGGACAAAAAAAUAAAUUUUCCAAUGCAAUUAUGUAUUAUAGGAACCAUUUAUUAAUUUGACCAGAUUAAUUAACCUGCAUGCAAGCUAGGCUUAAGCCCCUUUGUCUCUUCCUCCAUUUGCUCCAUUGGACUUGCAGUCUCUUGAUCCGAAGCCUUUGGACUGUCUUCUUCAUCUGGCGUGUGGAUUGUUUCAAAUCAGAGAAGGUAAUUACUGGUCCAUCUAGUUCUGCAGUUCAGGAGAUUCUUGGUAUUACUCUAUCUUCUCUGUUAUAUUCUCAGUUAACUCAUUGCUCUCUUUGAUGCCAGAACUAACUAGUUCUAGUUUGUUGAUGUGGUGGCUUCUGAGACUUGUUCACUUUUGGCUCGUCCUUCUGUUAAUAAGGCAAAACAUCGUGCUUGUGAUAAGGGUGUUUUGUCUUCUCUUGGAUCGAUAAUUUCUUUGGCAUCUCUUGUCUUUCCUUCUAGGGAUCAUCUUGUUAUUGGUUCAUCUUCAGAGGCUUCGGUGGCUGGCUAGCAGCCACCCCAGAUGCCAUGAUGACCUUAGUUUGGAAUUGUCAUGGAAUUGGGCAUUCUCUGACAAUUUGGGCUCUUUAGGAGCUUCUGUGUAAAUAUCGCCCGGCUAUAGUUUUUCUUAUGGAGACUAAGAAUAAAUAGAGUUUUAUGGAAAAACUCCAAGGGCAAUGUGGGUACCCUUAUACUCUUUUGUUGAUCCUAUAAGUCGUGCUGGUGAUUUAUCUUUAUGGUGGGAUAAUUCUAUACCAUUAACACCAAUUUAGUGGUCUAAAAAUUUUAUACAUUGUAGAGUAUCUAAUAUACAGUAUGUUCCUUUGGCUUAUUUUACUUUUGUUUAUGGUUGCUUUGACCAUCGACUAUUUUUUUGGAAUCUUUAUUUUGACUUCGUCCUACAUCUUCUCCUUGGUGCUGUAUUGGAGAUUUAAUGUCCUUCGUUUCCAAGUGGAUAAAUUUGGUGGUAGUAAUGAGUUCAUCUUAAGUGCAUUUGUUUAAUGAUUUUAUCCACUUUUGUGAAUUAUUGGAAGUGACGAGUAAAGGAUCUCCUUUCACUUGGUUUAAUAAGCAUUUUAGUACUUUUGCCAUUCAACAACAAUUAGAUUAGGCUUUGGUUUCUACGAAAUGGCAGGAGAGUUUUUCUCAUACUCAAUUACUUCAUUAGUCUUUACUUGAAUAUGAUCAUCGCGCGCUUGUCUUGCUUUUGCAUUCCCUUUCUCAUAUACGAUCCUUUUUGUUUCAUUUUGAAGCACAAUGGUUGUUACAUCCACAAUAUGGCAGUAUUUUUCAACAGGCCUUGUGUGCUCCUCAUCAGGGUUCAUCUAUGUUUUCUCUAGUGUAGAAAUUACACAGUUGUCGGACCUCCUUUACUCAUUGGAAUGGUACUACCUUUAAAGGUUCUUGAGCUCUUUUACGUUCCCUACGACAAAAAUAAGAGGAGGUGUAUUCUCACCCUUUCGAUCUUGCUAAUUCUGGUGUGGCGGCUAAAUUAACUACAGACAUUCAUGACUUGUGGCAACAAGAUGAACUUCAUUGGCGACAACGAUCUCAUAUUCAAUAGUUGCAAGCUAGCAAUCGUAACUCCAAAUUCUUUCAUCUAUCUACCAUCCCACAAAGUUAGAGAAAUUAUAUUAUUCGGCUCCAAAAUGAAGCUGGAGUCUGGGUUGAAAGUUAAGAUCUUAUUUGUCGGGAUAUUAGAAAUUUUUUUCAAUAGUUGUAUACAUCUACUUUGUUAGCGAAUCCUUCUAUUGUUUUAUCUUUGAAUUCGUGACUUGUUACUACUGAUAUGAAUGAGCAGCUUUUGGCAUCGAUUACAAAUAAUAAAGUGUGACUUGCGAUUUUUAAUCUGGGCAAAGAUAAGGCUUCAGGUCCAGAUGGUUUUUUCAGGUUCCUUUUUUCAGCAUCACUGGGACGUUAUUGGUCACAAGUUGGGUCAAGCUAUGCGUAGGUUUUACACUUCGAGUUAUUUUUUGAAGGAAUUAAAUCGUACAAAUAUUGUUCUGGUGCCAAAGUGUCAUUGCCAAGAUACUCUCUAACAAUAUCGCCCGAUUAGUUUGUGUAACUUUGUUUAUAAGGUCAUUUCUAAAAUGAUGGUGCACCGUCUUAAGCCUUUUAUGGACUUUUUUAUUCCUUCUAAUCAGGCAGCUUUUAUCCCUUCUCAUGCUAUCCAAGACAAUAUAGUUAUUGCGCAUGAAGCUUUUCACUUUUUGAAAACUUCUAAUUAGAAACAUCAUUCCCUAGCAGUUAAAUUAGAUAUGUUCAAAACCUAUGAUCAAGAUGAUUGGGGUUUAUUGCAUUUUGUAUCGUUACAAAUGGAUUUUGCUGAAGCUUGGGUUCAGUUAGUUAUGCAAUAUGUUUUGACCAUUAGUUUUUCCAUCUUGGUCAAUGGCAAUCCUACAACUCCUUUUUCUCCUUCAUGUGGGCUUCGUCAAGGAGAUCCUUUGUCCCUUUAUUUGUGUCUCAAGUUCAUUCUUACUUAUUGGCUGCUGCCAAGUCAAAUGGUGGCUUCAUGGCAUCAAGCUCUCACAUUUUUCUUCGGCUAUUACCAGUGUGUUGUUUGUUGAUGAUAUUUUACUUUUUUUUGAAAGCUACUGAUAGAGCAUAAUUUAACCCAUUUUAUCCUAAUGUUAUUGAUGUUUAUUUACACCAUUUCUGCCUAAUUUUGUGGUUUCAAUCAUGUUUUGCAGAUAAUAGGUGUAAAGAGACAAUCUGGUGAAAAUGCUCUUAAAACUGCCAAAAAGUGCCAAAUAUGGAAAGUGCCAAAAAAGGAAAGUUUUCAAAUAAGGAAAGUUUUCAGAAAAGGAAAGUUUUCAAAUAAGGAAAGUGCAGAAGCAAAAGCAAAUAAGGAAAGCUCAUUCAGAAGAUUAUUUGAAAUUCAAAUCGCAGAUCUUUCUUUCCUUAUUCAAAGAUAUGCACACACUGCAGCAGUCAUAUCUUCCUAUUUAGGCAGCAAGAUUUCAUGAAGACGCACUUGCCUCUUCUGCAUUCAGCAUUCAAAAUUCAAAUGAAGGCUCAACCUAAAAAGGAAAGACUGGACAAAUUCACUUUCCCUUCUGUACAUCCAUCCGCGCGCACCAACUUCCCUCUACAGAGCAUCCGCACGCACCUCUUGCCUUCUGAAGAGCUUGCAAUGCGAUUCUUUCCUUUUCAGACACAACUUGGGUAGCAAGCACCUCUUGGGCAGCAAGGGCAGCAUUUAAGGAUCUAGGGUAACACUUUCAACUAUAAAAAGACACAUAAGGAGCCUCCCCACAGCUUUUUCAAGACCCUCUUGGAUACACCUACGGGAUUGCAAAUGACACCAUCUCUUCUUCUUCCUUUCUUUAUUUUUUGAUUUUUGAUUCAGCUAUGAGUGGCUGAAACCUUUUAUUCUAGUUGAAGAUUGGUUGAAAUUUUGGUUGUUUUAUGGAUUGUGAGAUCUGAACACACAUUGUUUGUCUUUUGGUUAUUCAAUAUUCAUACAGUUCAUGCUUGAUUCUAUUAUUGCUUUGUUAUUUUGAUCAAAUUGGUCACUUGAUUCUUGAUUGCAAGGUAAUAUAUUGUUAGUUUGGAUAAUUUUAAGUCCGUAAUUGCUUUGAUUAUCCAAACAUAAGAACACUUGGUGUGAAAACUAAGGAAAUUGUAUGAUCUAGCAACAUCUCAUGCGUUUGAGUAGUUAGGAUUGGAUCUCUCUCUGUCUUCAUGCAGUUAACAAUUGUUUGAUGCCUAAGGCCUAAGGACGUUCCUUGACAAUUUGUUAAUUAGUAAUUAAUUAGAGGACGUUCCUUAAUUGGUUUAAUCAUAAGGAGAGACAUGGUGGUGAGAAGCGUUUUCCAUCUCCAUAACCAAUCUAUUGAAUCAAUCAAAAGAACAUAAGUUUCAAUGAUCAAUCCAAACACCUGAAGUGGAUCAAACUCUUCAACUAGACCUUUCUGAUAUUUGAUUUACCUUUUAUUUUACUAUUCGCUUAUUUAAUUGCUUUCAGUAGUUGCUUAAUCAAAUCAAUCUCAAAACCCCCCAUUUUAAUUUUAUUGCACUUUAUUUUCAUUUUGUUUUCAGUUAAUUGAUUUCAGUUUCUCAUUCAGUUAAUUCUUUUGGUCUUGUUAAGAAAAAUAGAUAAGUUUUCAAUUCUCUGUGGAUUCGAUCCUUUACCACUAUCUGCAGUAGUAAUAUUGUUGAUAACCAGAAAGGUUAUUUUUGACCGGCUUCGACAACCGCGAAUAAAAAAUUGGCACUGUUGUCGGGGAGUUGAUUUAACUUGUUUGUUUUUCUUUCAGGACCAAAUCAGGAACAAAGCACCACCGAAUCUGCCUCUGAAGAAGCCACCAUCGCAGAUCUCUUCUAAAACAUCUCCAUCGCACAUCUCACCCUCUCUUCGCCAUUCGGAUUGCCCAUCCUUUCAUCAAAGCAAGUCACCAUCGCAGAUCUGAAUCAUGGAUGAGGUAAGUACAUCUGUUCUCUAUUCUCAACUCACAUCUGUUAUGAAAGAUUUUGCCAUAGGAAUAGUUCGACAGGUUCAAGCAUUCCAGCCACCUAGGCCAUGUGGGAUUUGUGCAUAUGUGGGACACCCAAUCGAUCAAUGUCCUACACUUUAUGAGUAUAACCAAUCAGUGCAUGCAUUUGGAGGAUUCUAUGAACAGCCAAGACAUGAUCCCUACUUUAACACAUACAAUUCAAGUUGGGGAGACCAUCCAAACUACGGUUAUGCUGGAGCUAACAAUUACCAAAAUUAUCAGGGAUAUCAAGCCCAACCAGCACCUCCAAGUACCAAGCAGCACCUUGAGAAGAUGAUGGAGACAUUGGCAAGUUCUAUGCAAAGCAUUCAAUAGCAGAUAGAACAAAUGACCACCUCAUUAAAUGCAAUCAUGUUAAGAAAAGAGGAAGAGUUUCAAGAUGAUGAGACAGAUGAUGAAAGUUCGCAAGUACAAGAACAAGCUGCUGAAGAGAAACAACCAGAAUACUGUUUGUCCAAACAAACUGGUCAAAUAGAACCUGUUGAUAGUUUAGAUAUCAUUGAUUAUUUGAGAAAAGAUGUUUUUUAUAUGAAUCAAGAUGAUAUUCUGAACAAUGAUCUUUGCAGGAAAAAGAGCCAGAAAGAGCCAUAACUAAAAGAAACUGACUAUUGCAUCCAACAGAUGGACUGCAGCCAUGCACAGAAUGAACAGAACCAAACCGCACCACUUCAGCUUGGUGCGAGAUCAACCUUGCAUAGACAGAGAGCAUUCCAGGUACGCCUCUUCAGCUUGAACUGCAAGACAGUCAUCCCUUUCAGGUAAGUCUUGCGCAGAAAGAGAAACCGAAAACCAAUUCAGCCAGACAGCCAACACAAACAGCCCAUGCUCACAAGGAACAAGUGGAAGUCCAAGAGCCCAAACCAAAGGAGCAUGCGGAUCAAUGCCUUCCCAAACCUCUGGAUAAGGUAGAGUUUGUUUUGCCUGAAUUCAGUACUAAAUUGCAGCUAGCUAUGGAGAAAUAUGAAUUGAAGUUGGAAAUGCUCAAGAAUGCAAAUAUGAGAGCUAGAGGCACACCUCAUCUGAAAGAGGAGAAGCUAAUCAUGUUACUUUAUGAGUACAUGAAAAAAGUAGGAUGGGUUAUGACCAAAUCAAAAGGAGUGCUACACUUUCUUCUCAAUUCAGUUGGGACUCUUUUCUCUUCCCCAAUUACUUGAGCCUUGAUCAAGGGGAUCGCACCAUGCACACCACACCCAGGGGAGUACUCAGUUUUCUUUUGCAUUUUAAUAUUUUCUAUACAUUGAGGACAAUGCAUAAUUUAGGUGUGGGGGUGCAUAUCUCUGAAUCUUUUCCUUUCAGCCUUUCAGUUUUUGCGAAUUUUUUUUCCUUUCAGUUUUUUUUUGCGAUUUUUCUUCUUUUUUUUCUUUCAGUUUAUGCUUUUUUUUUUCCUUUCAGUUUUCUUUUAGUUUGUUUUUGUUUUUGCUUUCAAUAAUAUACAUAACCACAAUCUUCUUCUUUUUGAUUGCUCUACUCAAACUGAUAGACUAUGUUGAAUGAGCUUUUCUUUCCAUGACCCCAUUGAUGUGAUGACACUUUAAACUUAUGUUGAAUCAAUUGCAGUGAGUUGUAUUCAUGUUUGAGAAUUACCUUUUGAAUUGAAUCUUUGAGCUUGCCAUGGUGAAAAAUGUAUUGAUGACACUCAUUAGAGAGAAUGAAUUGAAAUUUGUGUGAAUAAACUUAAUAUGACUUGUUUUAGCAAUUGGUGUUGAUUUGCCCAAUGCAUUGAUCAAAGAAAUUCAGCAAAGGCUUAGACUUCAUAAGCACAAUUGAAAACUGUUCGAAUGGUUGAAAGACUAUGAACAGAGCUAGUAGCCACUUGGACAGGUGACCAACUGAGUAACUGGGGGUGGGUAUCACCAAUAUGUACCUUCACGUCAAAAGGUUGGUGACUUUUUGAAGCAAAACUUAAGUGCAAAAGGCUGAAUAUAGUACUUUAAGGUAAGGAUAAAUCACUCUGAAAGCUAGAAAAAGUCUUAACUGAAUAAGAACAUGUGCAUGUGUAAUCUCACUCUUGAGGAAAACAAAUCCUAACCAUGGUAAGUAAAGGGAAAUAAGGAAAGAAUGUGAGUAAUCUUCAUGCAUAUAUUCUUCACUGCAAUGAUUCAAAAUAGGUGUCUUGAGUAAGAGUUUAAGUGGAAAUAAGGAUCAAGUAGCAAAGAAAGCUUGUUUGACUAAGUUUAUUUACUUGAGGACAAGCAAAAGGCUAGGUGUGGGGGUAUUUGAUAGAGCAUAAUUUAGCCCAUUUUAUCCUAAUAUUAUUGAUGUUUAUUUACACCAUUUCUGCCUAAUUUUGUGGUUUUAAUCAUGUUUUGCAGAUAAUAGGUGUAAAGAGACAAUCUGGUGAAAAUGCUCUUAAAACUGCCAAAAAGUGCCAAAUAUGGAAAGUUCCAAAAAAGGAAAGUUUUCAAAUAAGGAAAGUUUUCAAAAAAGGAAAGUUUUCAAAUAAGGAAAGUGCAGAAGCAAAAGCAAAUAAGGAAAGCUCAGUCAGAAGAUUAUUUGAAAUUCAAAUCGCAGAUCUUUCUUUCCUUGUUCAAAGAUGUGCACACACUGCAGCAGUCAUAUCUUCCUAUUUAGACAGCAAGAUUUCAUGAAGACGCACUUGCCUCUUCUGCAUUCAGCAUUCAAAAUUCAAAUGAAGGGUCCAACUAAAAAGAAAAGACUGGACAGAUUCACUUUCCCUUCUGUACAUCCAUCUGCGCGCGCCAACUUCCCUCUGCAGAGCAUCCGCGCGCACCUCUUGCCUUCUGAAGAGCUUGCAACGCGAUUCUUUCCUUUUCAGACACAACUUGGGCAGCAAGCACCUCUUGGGCAGCAAGGGCAGCAUGUAAGGACCUAGGGCAACACUUUCAACUAUAAAAAGACACAUAAGGAGCCUCCCCACAGCUUUUUCAAGACCCCCUUGGACACACCUACGGGAUUGCAAGUGACACCAUCUCUUAUUCUUCCUUUCUUUAUUUUUUGAUUUUUGAUUUAGCCAUGAGUGGCUGAAACCUUUUAUUCUAGUUGAAGAUUGGUUGAAAUUUUGGUUGUUUUAUGGAUUGUGAGAUCUGAACACACAUUGUUUGUCUUUUGGUUAUUCAAUAUUCAUACAGUUCAUGCUUGAUUCUAUUAUUGCUUUGUUAUUUUGAUCAAAUUGGCCACUUGAUUCUUGAUUGCAAGGUAAUAUAUUGUUAGUUUGGAUAAUUUUAAGUCCGUAAUUGCUUUGAUUAUUCAAACAUAAGAACACUUGGUGUGAAAACUAAGGAAAUUGUAUGAUCUAUCAACAUCUCAUGCGUUUGAGUAGUUAGGAUUGGAUCUCUCUCUCUCUUCAUGCAGUUAACAAUUGUUUGAUGCCUAAGGCCCAAGGACAUUCCUUAGCAAUUUGUUAAUUAGUAAUUAAUUAGAGGACGUUCCCUAAUUGGUUUAAUCAUAAGGAGAGACAUGGUGGUGAGAAGCGUUUUCCAUCUCCAUAACCAAUCUAUUGAAUCAAUCAAAAGAACAUAAGUUUCAAUGAUCAAUCCAAACAACUGAAGUGGAUCCAACUCUUCAACUAGACCUUUCUGAUAUUUGAUUUGCCUUUUAUUUUAUUAUUCGCUUAUUUAAUUGCUUUCAGUAGUUGCUUAAUCAAAUCAAUCUCAAAACCCCCCAUUUUAAUUUUAUUGCACUUUAUUUUCAUUUUGCUUUCAGUUAAUUGCUUUCAGUUUCUCAUUCAGUUAAUUCUCUUGGUAUUGUUAAGAAAAAUAGAUAAGUUUUCAAUUCUCUGUGGAUUCGAUCCUUUACCACUAUAUGCAGUAGUAAUAUUGUUGAUAACCGAAAAGGUUAUUUUUGACCGGCUUCGACAACCGCGAGUCAGCCACUCAUCAUGAGGCUGGUCAACUUCUUUGGGUUUUAGAACUAUACUGCCGUCAUGGGUCAAAGUAUUAAUUUUCAUAAGUCUCUAAGUUUUAUUUAGCAAAUAUACUCCUCUGGCAUUGUAUUGAGAGCUUCUUUCUUUAUUUCCUUUGCAUGAGAUGCAACCUUCUCAAAAAUAUUUAGGACUUCUAGCACUCCUUGGUCGGUCUAAGUGAUAUGCUCUCUAAUGGGUAGAAGAUCAUCUUACGGCAAAGAUGCAAUUUUGGAGACACAAGCUUCUUUCCCAUGCCGGUAGGGAUACCCUUCUCCAAUUGAUUUUAUAGGCAAUAUCUACUUAUUAUAUGUCUAUUUUACAAUACCCAAAGACUUUUUGUGCUUGGCUAAAUAGUUUAUUAUCACAAUUUUAAUGGCGAGGGGAUACUCAUCAAAGGAAAAUUAGCUAGACUAGUUGGGUUGGCUUGUGUAAAUCAAAGUUUCAUGGUGGUCUUCGUUUUAAAGACUUUCAAAAGUUUAAUCUUACUUGUUUAGCCAAAUAGAGCUAGCGUCUUGUGACCGAUGCUUCUAGUCUUUAGGCAUGAGUCAUUAAAGGGCUAUAUUUUCUCCGAUCUUCUUUUGGGAAGCCUCUCAAUGCUCUCGUAGUUUUUGGAUUUGGCAAGCUUAUUAGUUGGUCGUGUAGCUUUGGCAAAAGGGGGUCCGUUUUAACAUUGGAGAUGGUCGUAACACUCUUCUACGGGAUGAACCAUGGGUUCCAGGUGUGGUUGAUUUUUUAUUAUCUUGGCCUAGCAAUUUCCCUCUUCAUCUUCAUCUAGUGGCUGAUCUUUUUGACCGAACUGCUUCACAGUGGAAUCAAUCUCUUAUUUUUCGAUUCUUUUCACCAUCUCAGGCGAAAGCCAUCUUUGCUGUCCUAAUUGUUCUCUUGUUUGGCAUUUUGAGUCCUAAUCGUUCUCUUUGUAUGUUAGUUCUUCUUCAGUUCCCUCUACUUCACAAUCUCUUUCCCUUUCCAUGUGGAAAUGUACAUGGUUGCUGCCCAUCCCUCCUAAGGUUAAAUUCUUUUUUUUUUGGUGCUUGCUUCAUAAUGCUCUUCCUGUUUUGAGUAAUUUGGUACAUAGGGAAAUGUCCUUGUCCCCACAUUUUUUAUUGUGUCACUGUGGACUAGAGACAAUCGAACAUGCUUUGUUCUGGUGUUUGCAUGCUUUAGCUAUGUGGUUUCGCAAUCCUUAUGGCUAUAAAUCAUCUACAGUUUGUUUUCUAGGUUUUCUUCUUAGUGGGAGCAGUUAUGACAACAUUUUAGUAGUGAAUAAGAUUGUGUAUACCUUAUGUCGUUAAUCUCUCUCACGCUUUGGCAUAUUUGAAAAUCUCGAAAUAAAGGUAUCUUUGAUCACUCUUUGCCAAAUCUAACUUAUACAGUGAGAUGUGUUACUUUUAAGUUAUCUCUUUUGCAACAUUUUCGUGUUUUUUGUGGCUGUUCUCCCUUUCUGCUACUAUAGGCUGCUCAUCCAUGUGGUUACACCCUCCUAAGGUGUUUUGAAGAUUAAUUCUCAUAUGACUUAGCGAGAUCAAUUUUUGAGUAAUGCUAUUAUUCUUAUAAUUUGUAAUAACUCUGGUUAGCUAUUUGAUGGUUUGGUCAGACAAUUUUGGUAUUACUCACCUGCAGUUGACGAGGCAAUGGCACUUCUGGAUGAUCUUCGUUUGGCAAUGAGUUAAGGAUAUUGUCAUGUGAUCUGUGAAGUUGAUUCUGCUAUUUUUGUAAUACCUGGCUAGACCCCGGCAUCGGAAUUCCUACCUUCCGGCGGAAUCUCCGUUAGAAUCCGGAAUUCUCGGAUGUCAGAGCCUUCUAGAAGGGUAAAAUAAAGGUUUUCUAAAAUGUUUUUAUAUGUUUUAUGGUUUUAUUAAAGAAAGAAUUGAGUUUUGAAAGAAAAAGACCAAGGAGGGAAAAGCCAGGUUCGGCCGCCGAACAUUAGGCUCUUGCGGAAGCACCUUUGGCCCCCGAAGGUGGUAUGGCCAGCCACCUAUAAAAUGCCCAUUGUCCAAAAAUAGGCGAGUUUUCUCUCUCUAUUUUCGGGCAUAGGUGAGAUUUCGCCCUCCCAUGGUUGAUUUUGUGUUUUCCUUCAAAUCCUUCAAGUUUUGAUGAGUUUUCACCUUUGUUUUGAAGAUUUUAAGCUAAGAUCAAGGUUUUGAAGCUUGGAGACCCCCGGAGCUCGAUUUCUCCCAAUCUCCAAGUUUGGAUCACAUCUCCUCUCGAUCUUUAAGAGGUAAGUGUAGAUCCUCGCCUUCUUUUAUGUUUUAAGUGAGUUUUAAGGGGUUUUAAGGGUGUUUAAUGCAUGACUAGAGUAGAUCUAAAAUGUUAGGGUUUAUGUACCCUUUAUGCUUAAUGUGAUGUUGUUGGGGUAUAGGCUAGUUUUAUGCCCCUAUAUGCUUGAAUAAGUGUUUAUGCAUGUUUUAGAAUAGUUGAAUGCCUGUUGUGAGGUUUGUGGUGGCUGGAUAUGAGAGGCAGAAUCAGAUUUUGCCAUUCUGGAGAACCCAGGUUCGGCCGCUGAAGCCAUGUUCGGCCGCCGAACCUGCCUGUGGAGGUAGCUUUAGGCCGCCUAAACUCGCCCCCGAAAGUUGGACUUUUGGCUCUGGAGGGGAGUUUCGGCCGCUGAACCUGCCCCUAAAGGUUAGUGACUUUCGGAUCUGGAGGGAGUUUCGGCCGCCGAACCUGCCCCUAAAAGUGCCUGACUUUCGGAUCUGGAGGGACCUUCGGCCGCCGAACCUGCCGCCGAAAGUCCCCUGCCCAACCUUCCUUUGCUUGUUUUGCAUGCAUGUUUCAUGAUAUUUUAGGGGGUUUUUAGGGACUUGUUUAGAGUCAUGUUAGAGUAUGUUUGGUCCCUCAUUUGAGUCCACCUGUGUAGGAUCGGACCUAAGGAACCGAGGUGAUUAGCAGUGAGAUAGCUGCUUCAGAGUUAGUUUAGAGUCAGCCAGAGGUGAGUAGAACUAAACUAAUCUUUUAUUUCAAGAAGUCAAAUGUUUUAAGCAUGUUCAUGCAUCAUGUAUAUGAAAUAGGUUGGAUGCAUUAGAUUUCACGAAUAUGCCGCAUUGCAUAAUUGGUUGUUGAU
rnacentral:lncRNA from 1 species